GUUUGAAGCAAAGCACGAGUAACGUCCUGUAUCCUCCUCAAAAGCUUCAACAAUAACCAAUGAGUGUUGAUCACCUGUCUGGGUAAUUUGAAUGUCUGGUCUCCAACUAAGAGAGCACCGGUUGGCACUGACUCAGUCCGAUGCUGGUAGAGGUUUGCCAGAUCUUGCUGUAGCUGAUAACAAUGAUGGACUUGUUUUCCUCAGAUUAUAUAAAAGGAAGGAUAUUGGAAGACUCCAAACUGUGACACUUAGAAAGAAAAUGCAAAUAUUAUGGUAAGUAUUUUUUAUUUAAUCUGAUUAGUAAAGGCCUUUUAAAGCACAACAAAACCUUUCUGACAU